AGGAGCGGUAUGAUAGGAAACUAUCACGUGCCGUUCCGAAGCCGAGUCAAGAGGGCGAGCUCUUGGCUUAGGUUAAC
rnacentral:ncRNA from 1 species